GAAUUUAAGCAUAUCACUAAGCGGAGGAAAAGAAACUAACAAGGAUUCCCUUAGUAACGGCGAGUGAACAGGGAAAAGCCCAGCACCGAAGCCUGUGGCCAUUUGGUUACUAGGCAAUGUGGUGUUCAGGUCGUUCCGCGUAAGUACUGCUCCAUUCCAAGUCCAGCAAUGAGUACGGUAAUAUAUAACUGGCCCAAAGAGGGUGAAAGGCCCGUUGGAGUGGAGGCGCAGAAAUGCCAGUGCUUUCCUGGUUCGACCUUGGAGUCGGGUUGUUUGAGAAUGCAGCCCAAAGUGGGUGGUAAACUCCAUCCAAGGCUAAAUACUAACACGAGUCCGAUAGCGAACAAGUACCGUGAGGGAAAGUUGAAAAGUACUUUGAAGAGAGAGUAAACAGUACGUGAAACCGCUCAGAGGUAACCGGGUGGAGUUGAACUGUGAACUUUGUGGAUUUAGCUGGUGAGAAUGGUUUGAGCUUGAUCAAAUUGGCUGGUAUUUGGGGUCUGCUUAGCCGCAGGUCUUUGCCUUUCGGUGAAGAUGCGCGAUACACUUGUCAAGUGUUGCGCGCCCCAGAUAAACUCGGGCCGUCUCGCCAGUGCACUUCCGCAGAGUGGUCACCACGACCAGCAUCGCUGUCUGGCUGUUAUGGUUAAACCGGUCUUGCAUUGUCCAUGUGGCUUUGCUUGGUCGGGAUGGCAGGUAACUGGUUGACUUGCUCGCGGUUCUCCGUGGGUGUAUGUUUUCCGGUGUAAUAAGCUGACCACAUCAGUUCAGUGCAGUAUGUUGGAGACGGCGGCUUGUGGUGUGUGCGUGCGUACCAGUUAGCUGGCGUAUCCGGGUUUGGUUAUUACGUUGCUUGUGUUUGCAGGCCUGAUGAUAGCCCGGGUUCGUUCGGUUGGCGGUUGCGUACGUUUCACUAUUCCAGGGCCAAUAGUCUGUGGUGUUGCGGUAGACUUUCCACCUGACCCGUCUUGAAACACGGACCAAGGAGAGUAACAUGUGCGCGAGUCAUUGGGCGUAACGAAACCCAAAGGCGAAGUGAAAGUAAAGGUCUGGCUUGUCUGGACUGAGGUGAGAUCCUGUCGCUUCUCACGCGUGAUAUCAUCAAGCAAAGAGCGGCAGGCGCAUCACCGGCCCGUCCUAUGAUGUGUUGACACUUGUGUUUUCCAUCGGGGCGGAGCAUGAGCGUACAUGUUGAGACCCGAAAGAUGGUGAACUAUGCUUGCGCAGGUUGAAGCCAGAGGAAACUCUGGUGGAGGACCGCAGCGAUUCUGACGUGCAAAUCGAUCGUCAGACGUGAGUAUAGGGGGCGAAAGACUAAUCGAACCAUCUAGUAGCUGG
rnacentral:rRNA from 1 species